CAUCAUCUUUCUUUACAAAUUAUCCAGUUCCAUUUGUUUGGGGCGUUUUCUUCCUUAACUCCCAUGGAAAAAUAAAUACAUCAUUUUUUUUUUGAACUGUGGGUGGAAUGAACUCUUUAGAAAUUGAUAUGGGCAUCCUCUUGGCUAGAUUCCUGCCACUCAACCAAGUAAAGGAACUCACGCGGCUGCAGGACUAAGCUCCUCCCACGUCUGCCGCUGUGGUUGGAUGUGCAGGCUGAGAGCGUCGUCUUGGAUCCUAGCACCGUGCCUAGUACACAGUAGGUGUUCAGCACAUGCCUGCUAGACUGACAUGUCAGAUAGUGUUUCAGUUUACCCAAUAGUCAUGAGUGUCAGAAUAGCUGGCUGUCGGCUGGAGCUCGGAGUACAUUCCAGGGUAAGUAUUAAUGUUUCAGCGCUGCUGCGUGCAAAUCAUACUGUUCUGUAUUCCCUCUUCCCACCACAAAAUGUGUUUAUGUGGAUUAAAUAGGGUUAUUAGGGGUAGCAGGGAUAAUCAAACCCAAGUUCUACCAUACAGUCACUUUUGCCCGGUGAGCUUAAUUUAGACACAUAGAGGUCAAAUUACAAAUGGCUGAGCUCACAGAAGCUUCAGUUUCUGGUUCUAGCCACAGGGGGAGAAAGCAGAGCUGGAGAUAUUCCCAGUUUCUAGGUUCUCAUACAAAAACCAACUGGCUGCCACAGCACAGUCACCGAAGAGGGAAGAAGACAAGGAGAGGUAAUGUGCAGAGGAAAAUGUAUGGCUGACACCCUGAAGAAUCGACAGAGGGCUUGCUGGUUACCAAGCAACGUGCUACCUAAGCUUUGCCUCUGCGUAAUUCUGCCAAUACUUCUUGCAGUUGAUGAGCUUAAGUGUAGCCCUGUGAGCUUGUGAGUGCGUGUAUGUGUGUGUGUGUGUGCAUGUGUGUGUGUUUUGGGGAGCAGAGACACUACAGGCACAGAGUAGCUCAUUCAGACUGCUUUUUAUAGGCAUUAAGCAAUAAGCUCCCAUAAUAAACAGCCAUGCCACAGUUAAUACUCAAUAAACAGUAUGGUUUAUAAGCAAUUAGGGACCCAAAUCUCAAAAUAAGACAGUUCAGCAGAAUGAGAGCAUCCACUCUAACAAGGCUCAGUAAGAUAUGUGGCUUGUUAAAAGUGUCAUAAUUCUCCUUUAGAAAGCAAUUAACAGUUUGGUAUAUUUUGGUCUGCCAAAUACGGAGUUUCUUAAUCAAAUGUGAACACAAUCAAAGAGCCGCUUCUCAGCUUUACAUAAUGGACAGUCAAGUACGCAGAAAGCACAGCUGAAAUUAAAGGAUGAAUUGAUGUUCGCUCCUGUUUGU
rnacentral:lncRNA from 1 species